rnacentral:rRNA from 1 species
CCUACGGGAGGCAGCAGUGGGGAAUCUUGCGCAAUGGGCGGAAGCCUGACGCAGCAACGCCGCGUGCGGGAAGAAGGCCUUAGGGUCGUAAACCGCUUUCAGGGGGGACGAAGCUUCCGGGGUUAAUAGCCUACGGGGUGACGGUACUCCCAAAAGAAGGUCCGGCUAACUACGUGCCAGCAGCCGCGGUAAUACGUAGGGACCGAGCGUUGUCCGGAAUCAUUGGGCGUAAAGAGCGUGUAGGCGGCCUAGUAGGUCUCGUGUGAAAUCCCGUGGCUCAACCACGGACACGCACGGGAAACCCCUAGGCUCGAGUCCGGAAGAGGAGAGCGGAAUUCCUGGUGUAGCGGUGAAAUGCGCAGAUAUCAGGAAGAACACCCGUAGCGAAGGCGGCUCUCUGGGACGGUACUGACGCUGAGACGCGAAAGCGUGGGGAGCAAACAGGAUUAGAUACCCUGGCAGUCCACGCCGUAAACGAUGGAUGCUAGGUGUGGGAGGUGUCGACUCCUCCCGUGCCGAAGCUAACGCAUUAAGCAUCCCGCCUGGGGAGUACGGCCGCAAGGCAAACUUAAAGGAAUUGAACGGCUGAGAGUGCGAGCGACGACGAGGAGAGG